rnacentral:sRNA from 1 species
UUCACAGCUGUGGAGACUGAAGUUCUCUUUUUAAUCAAGGGACAGGUAUAGUAUGGCAGCAUCAGUACAGCCUUCCUCAGCACUGCCCUGGACUCAAGCUCACUUAGGCUAUUGGAGAGGUCCCCAGGAGGGUUGUGUGUGUGGUUCAGUCACCUUGCUCUUUUGUUGGCCUCU